GGAGACUCCUGGAUGUCUGGCCCAAAGCUGGAGGCUCUGAAAGGGCUGAGAGAUGAUUUGGAAGAUACCAUUUGACUGCUUUUUACUGACGUGACCAUAUGUCUACCCGGAGAUUGGAGACCUUGGACAGCUGGAGCCACAGCAACACCACAGAUCCAAACAGCAUCUUCAACCUACGGUGCAGCUUGCAGCGAUGUUGGAACUUUAACUCACUGAGAGUUGGUUUAUGAGCACAACUCUGAAUGCAUGAUUUAAAAUGACAUUGGCUGGAGUUCCCGUCGUGGCGCAGUGGAAACGAAUCCAACUAGGAACCAUGAAGUUGCAGGUUCAAUCCCUGGCCUUGAUCAGUGGGUUAAGAAUCCGGCGUUGCUGUGAGCUGUGGUGAAGGGUCGCAGAUGUGGCUCAGAUCCCGUGUUGCUGUGGCUGUGGUGUAGGCUGGCAGCUGUAGCUCCAAUUUGACCCUAGCCUGGGAACCUCCACAUGCGGAACCCAGACCAAUGAAGACAAGAGAGCUGCUCUUUGUGUGACGCAUUUCCUCACCCAGCCGCAGAUUGCAACAGAGGAGAUGAGAUAAAGAUGAGGAACCUCAACAGAAAGGAUGGAUGUAAACAGUGGGUUUGCUGUGCAGUGACAAGAGCCCAGCUUGGGAAGGGUGUUGAGUGGGGUGAAGAUGUCACAGGAACUCACGAAAGCCAGAGGAGUUCACAGUUCAGAGAAGCUUUUUGAGCUCCCAAGAGGAUGUAAAGGGCACAAGGUCACCUUUAUUGAACUGUUUUCCUGUUGGCCAUCCCUUCUGGGCCCCAAGUUCUGCAUUUGCAGCAUCUGGCACAGUGCUGGGCACAUCCUGAGCUUGAGAAAAGGUAGGUGAACCAAGAAAUGCAUGAAUGAAUGAACAAGGGGUCCGAUAAUGGCUUCUGGGUAGAUGGAUUCUUUGUGGAAGUUGGGAAAAGGCUGAGGGAUCCUGAGAUGGAGAGGAAUCUGAGAGAGGAGAAGGAUGCAGGAGUGGUGGUUGACUAGCCCCUCACCCCAUGCUGCCUCCUGCUGACUCACAUGUCUUGGAACUCCCGGGCUUUGCAGCCUCCUAUCCCGGGCCCCUGGCUCUCAGCCCUCCUUUCCGCCUGUCGGCCACUUAAUCACAUACAGAAGAAGUAAACUCCCCAAGGUCCCUGUUGUGUGGUCCUCUCCUCAAAGUCUGUUUCCCCACCUCGAUUUCUGGAAGUCCCUUUGGAGGAUCUGACAGACAGUCUCCCUUUCCCACCCCUCCAGCUGGACAGGCUCAGGAAACAGAAGGAGUUUUCUGGGAACAGACUGGAGAGGAGGAGCCAGUUAAAGUGACAAAAGGCACAAGUUUGAACUUCCUGUGUCCUGCGCCUGCUGCCGGAGCAGGGCUCUGAGCUGCCUCCAGAAUGGCCCACUGGUCAUGGGGGAAGUAAGAGAGAUUUGCUCACAGCAGGGCAUUUACUUAUAAGCUGGCCCACCCUGGGAUUUGGCCUCGAUGGUGGACAAUCUCCCUGCAUAAGGAAACCCUCUGCAGGGAACUCUUCCAAGGGAGAAGGAGACCAGCCAGACAAGCCUGGCCCGGGAUCAAAGCUCUGGGCCUCAGAGGGUGGGCUGAGUCGAGGAUGGGCUGGAUCUAACUUCUGGGUCAGCGCCAUGAGCAGCGCAGACCCGGCAUGACAGCGGGAUUGGGGGGGGGGGGCAGCACCCCUCCUCGUUGGCUCUUGGAACCUGGCCUUUUGGGCACCUGCCUAGGAGGUGUCAGAAACCAGCAGAGGCCAUGUGUGUGUGGUGGCCGCAGGGCUGGUCAUGCUCCAGGGGGUGGGAGGAGGCCUGGGAGGUGGGGCUGGUUUCUCAGAGACCCAGGACACUUGUUUCAAAAUCGGACGGAAAAAAAAAUGAACUUCUAAGACACAAAAGGUCACAUGCUGCAUGAUUCCAUUUAUAUGAAAUAUCCAGAAUAGGAAAAUCCUAAGAGACAGAAGGUAAAUUAGUGGUUGCCAGAGUCUGGGGAGAAGGGGAGAGUGGGCAGCGAUUGCUAAUGUGUUUGGGGUAUCUUGUUGGGGUGAUUAAAAUGUCCUGAAUUAGAUUGUGGUGAAGGUGGCACAAUCUUGAGACUAUACUAAAAACCACUGAAUUGUAUAUUUUAAAGUGGUCUACUUUAUGGCAUGUGGAUUAUAUCUCAAUAAAGCUAGUUGUUUUUGUUUUGUUUUGUUUUGUUUUUGUUUUGUUUUGUUUUAAAGACUAGGGAGUUAGGGACAGAAAAAGAAAAGGAGAGAAUCAAGAACAUUAGCAUAAUGUGUAAUCUUUAGCCAAAUAAAUAAGAAAUGUGUUAAAACAGAAAAAAAGCGAGAUGAGGUUAUACUAAACUAAAAUUAGAAAACAGGUUUCAUCUGGUGUAUUGACUCUGUUCGUGGCUUUUUGGAGUGCUGAGCUAGAGGUUUUAAGGCUGCAUUUAGACUCAAAAAGAUCAAACAGUGUGAUCACUUAGUGAUGUCUGCUCGAGGCACAGGCGACUAAGGAGGAGGUGCAUGGGGCAAGUACCUGCCUUCCCUGCCUGCAACUGAUCUCAGCAGUCCCUCCCAGCUUUCACACUCCCAAGCCCGAAAUGUGGGCUACAGGGAUUGGGGUUAGAAGAGAAGGGAGGUAAGACCAAGGCAGUUGAGCAUCCAGCUAGACCCCACUACAUCUACACCUGCUGGGGCUUGCCUUCAUCUUCCCCACACCAGCUUCAUUCUUUUAAGGACCACCUCC
rnacentral:lncRNA from 1 species